rnacentral:rRNA from 1 species
AUUGAACGCUGGCGGCAGGCCUAACACAUGCAAGUCGAACGAGUGGCGGACGGGUGAGUAAUGUCUGGAAAACUGCCUGAUGGAGGGGGAUAACUACUGGAAACGGUAGCUAAUACCGCAUACCAUCGGAUGUGCCCAGAUGGGAUUAGCUAGUCGGGGGGGUAACGGCUCACCUAGGCGACGAUCCCUAGCUGGUCUGAGAGGAUGACCGGCCACACUGGAACUGAGACACGGUCCAGACUCCUACGGGAGGCAGCAGUGGGGAAUCUUGCACAAUGGGCGAAAGCCUGAUGCAGCCAUGCCGCGUGUAUGAAGAAGGCCUUCGGGUCGUAAAGUACUUUCAGCGGGGAGGCGGUACCCGCAGAAGAAGCCCCGGCUAACUCCGUGCCAGCCGCCGCGGUAAUUC